GAGUUUGAUUAUGGCUCAGGAUGAACGCUAGCGAUAGGCUUAACACAUGCAAGUCGAGGGGCAGCAUAGAAUCAGCUUGCUGAUUUAGAUGGCGACCGGCGGAUGGGUGCGUAACGCGUAUGUAACUUACCUGUCAGAGGGGGAUAACCCGGAGAAAUUCGGACUAAUACCGCAUAUACUUGAGAUGCUGCAUGGCGUUUCAAGGAAAUAUUUAUAGCUGACAGAUAGGCAUGCGUUCCAUUAGCUGGUAGGUGAGGUAACGGCUCACCUAGGCGACGAUGGAUAGGGGAACUGAGAGGUUAAACCCCCACACUGGUACUGAGACACGGACCAGACUCCUACGGGAGGCAGCAGUGAGGAAUAUUGGUCAAUGGGCGAGAGCCUGAACCAGCCAAUUCGCGUGAAGGAAGACUGCCCUAUGGGUUGUAAACUUCUUUAGUAGGGGAUUAAAGUUUGCCUUGCGAGGCAA
rnacentral:rRNA from 1 species